UCCCAGCUCCACAUGGCCACCGCGUUCCACUUCUUCAGCGAGAACAUCUUGUCGGCAGCGCCCGCCUUGGCGCCCGAGGAGCCCGGCAGAUAACAUUGAGGUGGGUUACCUGCGCUGCACUCUGCAAACCAUGGGCAUGCCUUUCACUGACGAAGAGUUCCAGGAAGCUCUGCAGAAAGUGACACUGGAAAUUCCUGCAAGAAAAAAAAAUUAGGAUUAUUUUGGGAACGUCCUGUAUUAGAGUUGAUUGAUGCUGCAUGACCCCGGCCACUCCAGGCUAAAGGGAGUGAAGAGUAGCACAUGCAUGCGCGUCCGGAGGAGCAUCACCUGGCAUCAUGAGUCAAAAGCGUCGAGCAAGUGAUAGUGGAGUGCCUAGCAGUAGCAGUACCACUAGCAGCAAGAAAACCAGGAAAACCAUUAGUCUGGGUUACUAAAUUAGACAUUUUAAAGCAUUUUGAUGCAGGCGAGCAUGCAGUAGACAUUGGCAUCACUCUAGGUCUUACUCCGACCACUGUGAGAACAAUUCGGAAUAAUGCCGAAAAGAUCAGGGCUAAUGCUUGGCGUGUAACACCACUCAGUGCUAAUACAGUAAGUUGAUCAAGAAGUAGUUUGCUGGAAAACAUGGAGAGUCUUCUCUCACUGUAGAUAGAGGACCAAACUAGAAGAACAUACCUCUAAGUUUGCUAGUGAUACAAGCUAAGGCAAAAAGUUUGUAUGACAAUUUGAAAAGAGACCAAGGUGAAGGAUCACAGACAGAGACUUUCACAGCAAGUCGGGGAUGGUUUGAUCAGUGAAAAAGGCACUUCUCCCUGCAUAACAUCAAGAUGUCCGGUGAUGCAGCUAGUGUUGAUACUGCAGCAGCUAAAAAAUUCCCCAACUAUUUCAAGAAAAUAAUUGUGGAAGGUGGCUAUUCCCCUAAACAAGUCUUCAAUGUUGAUGAAAUGGACCUUUACUGGAAGAGGAUGCCUGAGUGAACUUACGUAUCCCGAGAGGAGAAGACAGCGCCCGGAUUUAAAGCAGCUAAAGAUGGUCUAACCUUGCUUUUAGGUGAUAAUGCUGCCGGAGACAUGAAGAUGAAACCACUGACAGUGUACCAAUCUGAAACACCACACGCACUCAAGGGAUUUUCAAAGGAACAACUUCCGGUCAUUUGGAGAUCCAAAAAGGAGGCAUGGAUAACUGGAGCUAUUUUUUCAGAAUGGAUGACUCUGUAUGCUGUCCCUGCAUGGAAGGAAUACCAUGCCAAAGAAAAUCUUGAUUUCAAGAUUUUAUUGCUUAUUGAUAAUGCACCGGCUCAUCAACUCAACCUAGAUGACCUGUGCAAAAACGUCAAAGUUGCCUUUCUGCCACCAAACACCACAUCACUCAUCCAACCCAUGGACCAAGGAGCCAUCACUGCAUUUAAGAUGUAUUACUUACGCCAUACUUUCGACCAGCUCAUCAGAGGCACUGGUGGGGAAGGCAAACCUGCUAUUCAGCAAUUUUGGGGUGACUACAACAUCCUGAAGUUCAUCAAUAACAUUGGUGAGUCCUGGGCUGAAGUUACUCAGGUAUACAUGAAUGUUCUGUGGGGGAAGCUGUGGCCUGAAUGUGUCAAUGACUUAAAAGUAUUUAAAGAUGUUGUCUCUGCUAUGAAGAAAUAUAUCUUCGGCUUGGCCAAGAAAGCAGGUUUUGAUGAGGUGGAAGAAGCCGACGUUACACAACUUUAAUCACACAGAGAAGAGCUAACCAAUGAAGAUCUGAUGCAACUAGAGGUGACAAGAGCAACAGAAGAAGAGGGCCAAGAAGUAGAAGAACCACCAACCCAUCGAAAUUUGACUGCCAAACAUCUUUCUGAAGCUUUCCAAGUGAUUGGAGCUGGCUUGCAAAUCCUGAGUGGUGAUGAUCCUGACAGGGAACACAGCUCCAAAGUGAUUAGGGGAGUUGGUCAUCUAAUGACUUGUAAUAAAGAAAUUUACCAAGAAAAAAAAGGGAAAGCAAAACAACAAUCUCUAGAUGUGUUUUUCCGAGUUCAGAAAGUUCAGCAAGAGGAGCAGCCGGACAAUCCACCCUCUUCUAGUCUCUGACUCCAUCACCUCAACCAAGCUUUAUACUCAGCAAUGAUGAUUGUAGUAUUAGAUUGUUUCUUUAAAAUUGUUUAAAA